rnacentral:rRNA from 1 species
CAGUAGCCGCGGUAAUACGAAGGGGGCUAGCGUUGCUCGGAAUGACUGGGCGUAAAGGGCGCGUAGGCGGCUGUUACAGUCAGACGUGAAAUUCCUGGGCUCAACCUGGGGGCUGCGUUUGAUACGUGAUGGCUUGAGUUCGGAAGAGGGUCGUGGAAUUCCCAGUGUAGAGGUGAAAUUCGUAGAUAUUGGGAGGAACAUCAGUGGCGAAGGCGGCCAUCUGGGACAACACUGACGCUGAGGCACGAAAGCGUGGGGAGCAAACAGGAUUAGAUACCCCUGUAGUCCCUGUCUCUUAUAC